rnacentral:ncRNA from 1 species
UUUUUAGAGAGUUUGAUCCUGGCUCAGGAUGAACGCUGGCGGCGUGUUUAAGGCAUGCAAGUCGAACGAACCGAUGCUUCGCAUUAGGAGUUUCAGGGCACAAAAACGAAGUAUAAAUAAAUUCCAAAUUUUGAUAUUUAAAUUUGUAGCGGGAAAGUUUAGUUAUUGAUCGUUUUUAAUCAUUGUUUGGUUGUUUAUUUUUCGUAGCCUGGAAUUUCUGCUGCGGAGCAACGGUGAGUGGCAAACGGGAGAGUAACGCAUUGGUAAUCUGCCCCUGUCAUGACCAUAAGCCAAAGAAAUUUGGUCUAAUAGUCAAUGGUUUGUUUUUAUUUAGGUAAAAGCAAUAAAGGUUUCGCAAGAUUCCGGACAGGGAGGAGCCUAUGUUCCAUCAGGUAGUUGGUGAGGUAAUGGCCCACCAAGCCAAUGACGGAUAGCGGGUGUGAGAGCAUGAUCCGCCUCAUUGAGACUGAGACACUGCUCAAUCUCCUACGGGGGACUGCAGUCAAGAAUCUUCCUCAAUGGCCGAAAGGCUGAAGGAGCGACGCCGCGUGUAGGAAAUAAAUUUUUGGUUAAAGCCCUUUGCUUAACAUUGGGAUCGCCAGAGAAACUAUUAGACUAGAGGCUGGGAGAGGCAAGUGGAAUUGCUGGUGUAGGGGUUAAAUCCGUUAAUAUCAGCAGGAACACCAAAUGCGAAGGCAGCUUGCUAGAACAGUCCUGAGACCCUUCCAGUAUCGUUAUAAAAAAGCUAACGCGUUAAGCAUCCCGCCUGGGAAGUACGGCCGCAAGGCUAAAACUUAAAGGAAUAGACGGGACUCCGCACAAGCGGUGGAUCAUGUGGUUUAAUUCGACG